CUUCAGAAGAGGUCAUUAUCUUCAUUGAAGUUCCUGCACGGUAAAGUCACCGCACGUCACAAUCAUCUGAACGUAGCUAUACUAAGAAAUACAGAGAGAGUUGUGUGGAGCUCAUAGUCUUAAUUAGCCUUGUAGUAACUUAUGUGGCAAUGGCUUGAAUUAAUCA